CUCUGGUCAGUUCUGCUCAGAGUCACCUUGGAGCAGGUGAGUUCAACAUGUAGCUGCUUUAUCGGCACUUUGAAAAAUGACUUUUCUUUCUUUUAGAUAGAUGGAGAAAGCAACCACAGCACUGAGGCUACUUCAGUGUGGUAGCGCAGGGCUGAAACCCAGGUCUCACCAACGACAAAGCAGUCACUGUAUAAGCCAGCUAUUUUGCUAGCCCAUCAGUUGCUUUCUUGCUCAGCUCAAAGAAAUGAACUGCUCCUCUUUCAUCCUAGAAUCCAUAUUACUUUGCAAACCGACCAGCAAGUGCUGCUAUUGUCACUGAAAAGAAAAAUGAGUAUACUAAGAACCUUCUCAAACAAAUAGAUGCCAAUAGUAAACUGGCCAAGAAAAAGAAAGAAAAUCAGAAAGUCUUGGAGCAACUAGAACGGCUGCAACUCAAACAAGAGAUUGAUGAACAAAAAGCUGAACUGAAGAAACAUCAAUUUGAGGAGAGAGAAAUGUAUAAGAAAGCACUGGAAUACCAGCUGAAACACAGGCCUUCCAGACUGCCCAUCUACGAGUCCAUGGGCACCUUCACAAACUUUGGGCAGAAUGAAAAGACCCUGGAGGCCGAGAAGCGGCAGAGAAAUAUUGAAUAUAUGAAGCAGCAGGUGGAAACCGCUCUAGGCCACAGAAGACAGCGUGUCCUCAACCAAAUAAAAAAUCUGCAGCAAGAAAAAAAAAUGCUUCAGAAAAAACAAGAAAAGUAAGGGGCCUGGCCCUUCCUUCCUCACCAUAACCCUCUCCUCCUUUCUCUCCCUCUCCUCCCCCACCCCUUGACACCAACCUUAGUAGAAACAUGUGUGGACACGUGGAGAGUCAUGACUGACCCUAGCUCGCCCCAGCCUGCUUCUCAUCUCUACUCCCCAGUCAACUUCUGAGGCUGUUGCA